rnacentral:rRNA from 1 species
GGUUAAGCGACUAAGCGUACACGGUGGAUGCCCUGGCAGUCAGAGGCGAUGAAGGACGUGCUAAUCUGCGAUAAGCGUCGGUAAGGUGAUAUGAACCGUUAUAACCGGCGAUUUCCGAAUGGGGAAACCCAGUGUGAUUCGUCACACUAUCAUUAACUGAAUCCAUAGGUUAAUGAGGCGAACCGGGGGAACUGAAACAUCUAAGUACCCCGAGGAAAAGAAAUCAACCGAGAUUCCCCCAGUAGCGGCGAGCGAACGGGGAGGAGCCCAGAGCCUGAAUCAGUGUGUGUGUUAGUGGAAGCGUCUGGAAAGGCGCGCGAUACAGGGUGACAGCCCCGUACACAAAAAUGCACAUGCUGUGAGCUCGAUGAGUAGGGCGGGACACGUGGUAUCCUGUCUGAAUAUGGGGGGACCAUCCUCCAAGGCUAAAUACUCCUGACUGACCGAUAGUGAACCAGUACCGUGAGGGAAAGGCGAAAAGAACCCCGGCGAGGGGAGUGAAAAAGAACCUGAAACCGUGUACGUACAAGCAGUGGGAGCCUCUUUAUGGGGUGACUGCGUACCUUUUGUAUAAUGGGUCAGCGACUUAUAUUCUGUAGCAAGGUUAACCGAAUAGGGGAGCCGAAGGGAAACCGAGUCUUAACUGGGCGUUAAGUUGCAGGGUAUAGACCCGAAACCCGGUGAUCUAGCCAUGGGCAGGUUGAAGGUUGGGUAACACUAACUGGAGGACCGAACCGACUAAUGUUGAAAAAUUAGCGGAUGACUUGUGGCUGGGGGUGAAAGGCCAAUCAAACCGGGAGAUAGCUGGUUCUCCCCGAAAGCUAUUUAGGUAGCGCCUCGUGAAUUCAUCUCCGGGGGUAGAGCACUGUUUCGGCAAGGGGGUCAUCCCGACUUACCAACCCGAUGCAAACUGCGAAUACCGGAGAAUGUUAUCACGGGAGACACACGGCGGGUGCUAACGUCCGUCGUGAAGAGGGAAACAACCCAGACCGCCAGCUAAGGUCCCAAAGUCAUGGUUAAGUGGGAAACGAUGUGGGAAGGCCCAGACAGCCAGGAUGUUGGCUUAGAAGCAGCCAUCAUUUAAAGAAAGCGUAAUAGCUCACUGGUCGAGUCGGCCUGCGCGGAAGAUGUAACGGGGCUAAACCAUGCACCGAAGCUGCGGCAGCGACACUAUGUGUUGUUGGGUAGGGGAGCGUUCUGUAAGCCUGUGAAGGUGUGCUGUGAGGCAUGCUGGAGGUAUCAGAAGUGCGAAUGCUGACAUAAGUAACGAUAAAGCGGGUGAAAAGCCCGCUCGCCGGAAGACCAAGGGUUCCUGUCCAACGUUAAUCGGGGCAGGGUGAGUCGACCCCUAAGGCGAGGCCGAAAGGCGUAGUCGAUGGGAAACAGGUUAAUAUUCCUGUACUUGGUGUUACUGCGAAGGGGGGACGGAGAAGGCUAUGUUGGCCGGGCGACGGUUGUCCCGGUUUAAGCGUGUAGGCUGGUUUUCCAGGCAAAUCCGGAAAAUCAAGGCUGAGGCGUGAUGACGAGGCACUACGGUGCUGAAGCAACAAAUGCCCUGCUUCCAGGAAAAGCCUCUAAGCAUCAGGUAACAUCAAAUCGUACCCCAAACCGACACAGGUGGUCAGGUAGAGAAUACCAAGGCGCUUGAGAGAACUCGGGUGAAGGAACUAGGCAAAAUGGUGCCGUAACUUCGGGAGAAGGCACGCUGAUAUGUAGGUGAAGUCCCUCGCGGAUGGAGCUGAAAUCAGUCGAAGAUACCAGCUGGCUGCAACUGUUUAUUAAAAACACAGCACUGUGCAAACACGAAAGUGGACGUAUACGGUGUGACGCCUGCCCGGUGCCGGAAGGUUAAUUGAUGGGGUCAGCGCAAGCGAAGCUCUUGAUCGAAGCCCCGGUAAACGGCGGCCGUAACUAUAACGGUCCUAAGGUAGCGAAAUUCCUUGUCGGGUAAGUUCCGACCUGCACGAAUGGCGUAAUGAUGGCCAGGCUGUCUCCACCCGAGACUCAGUGAAAUUGAACUCGCUGUGAAGAUGCAGUGUACCCGCGGCAAGACGGAAAGACCCCGUGAACCUUUACUAUAGCUUGACACUGAACAUUGAGCCUUGAUGUGUAGGAUAGGUGGGAGGCUUUGAAGUGUGGACGCCAGUCUGCAUGGAGCCGACCUUGAAAUACCACCCUUUAAUGUUUGAUGUUCUAACGUUGACCCGUAAUCCGGGUUGCGGACAGUGUCUGGUGGGUAGUUUGACUGGGGCGGUCUCCUCCUAAAGAGUAACGGAGGAGCACGAAGGUUGGCUAAUCCUGGUCGGACAUCAGGAGGUUAGUGCAAUGGCAUAAGCCAGCUUGACUGCGAGCGUGACGGCGCGAGCAGGUGCGAAAGCAGGUCAUAGUGAUCCGGUGGUUCUGAAUGGAAGGGCCAUCGCUCAACGGAUAAAAGGUACUCCGGGGAUAACAGGCUGAUACCGCCCAAGAGUUCAUAUCGACGGCGGUGUUUGGCACCUCGAUGUCGGCUCAUCACAUCCUGGGGCUGAAGUAGGUCCCAAGGGUAUGGCUGUUCGCCAUUUAAAGUGGUACGCGAGCUGGGUUUAGAACGUCGUGAGACAGUUCGGUCCCUAUCUGCCGUGGGCGCUGGAGAACUGAGGGGGGCUGCUCCUAGUACGAGAGGACCGGAGUGGACGCAUCACUGGUGUUCGGGUUGUCAUGCCAAUGGCACUGCCCGGUAGCUAAAUGCGGAAGAGAUAAGUGCUGAAAGCAUCUAAGCACGAAACUUGCCCCGAGAUGAGUUCUCCCUGACUCCUUGAGAGUCCUGAAGGAACGUUGAAGACGACGACGUUGAUAGGCCGGGUGUGUAAGCGCAGCGAUGCGUUGAGCUAACCGGUACUAAUGAACCGUGAGGCUUAACCUU